rnacentral:tRNA from 1 species
GGUUUUGUAGUUUAAAUAAAGAUACUAGAUUGCAAAUCUGAAGAUGUACUAUUGUGCCAAAACUU